AUUGAACGCUGGCGGCAGGCCUAACACAUGCAAGUCGAGCGGAUGAAGGGAGCUUGCUCCUGGAUUCAGCGGCGGACGGGUGAGUAAUGCCUAGGAAUCUGCCUGGCAGUGGGGGAUAACGUCCGGAAACGGGCGCUAAUACCGCAUACGUCCUGAGGGAGAAAGUGGGGGAUCUUCGGACCUCACGCUAUCAGAUGAGCCUAGGUCGGAUUAGCUAGUUGGUGGGGUAAAGGCCUACCAAGGCGACGAUCCGUAACUGGUCUGAGAGGAUGAUCAGUCACACUGGAACUGAGACACGGUCCAGACUCCUACGGGAGGCAGCAGUGGGGAAUAUUGGACAAUGGGCGAAAGCCUGAUCCAGCCAUGCCGCGUGUGUGAAGAAGGUCUUCGGAUUGUAAAGCACUUUUAGUUGGGAGGAAGGGCAGUAAGUUAAUACCUUGCUGUUUUGACGGUACCAACAGAAUAAGCACCGGCUAACUUCGCG
rnacentral:rRNA from 1 species